ensembl:lncRNA
UCCUAGGACCUUUUCUGAGAUGCUUUGUGGAUACUAUUCUGGAUCAGACAUGCUGCCUUUGUGCGCUGAUGCUGAUGACUGGUCAUUGGUCGACAAUCAAGACACGUAACCUUUUGGUUUUAAAGCCCAGAGCUUCUGGGCAUCAGAACAGGAUCACUAACCUCGAUUUGGACGAUGUCUACUUCAGCGAGUCGGCAGAGUGGACAUACUGCUCACUCUGGAACAGGCCUUAACCCCUGUGACUUGAAAGAGGAAGAAACCUCGCAAAAGAGGAAAACGAGCUGGACCCCUGACGUGACUACGUCGACGAGUAAGUAAACCCUCCAUUUUAUUGGUGAACGUACAACCACUACGAUACAUACUGGACCAGUGGCGGUCAGUGCAGUUUAAGAUGAGGGAUGACAAAAAAAUGUCAUGAGCAUGGCCUUAUUUCUAUUACAGCAUAUUGAAUGACUGUCACUCAUACUCCAUUCACCCAGUUCAAUGUAACAUGGACAGGUUUAGGCUACUACAUGAUACUCAAAUGUUCCCUAUAACCAUCAUGAGGUCACUACAACAUAGUCUAUGAAUGAAAGUUUACAACGCAGGUGCACACAUGACAUUGAGACAAAUUUGACACAUGGACAGACAGUGAAAUUCAAUACCGCCUUGCACACUCCUCCCUGCAUCAAGCUGAUAUAGGAUGUAUUCAUUCAUCUAACAGUUGCAAACAAGAGUUUCUAUCGGACAAAUUCAACUAUGUUUAUCCCGGUUUUGUUCCGUUUGCUUCCAUUUAAGAAACGUUUUUCAACAGAAUCGGCGGAAUGAAUACACCCCUGAUCACACGUAAACACACAGCCACAGCCACACAACAAGUGAUAUCAAUAAGGAAUCAUAGCUUUUACCUGGAUUCGCCUUGUCCGUCUGUCAUAGAAAUGUGUUGUACACUUAGUGGAAAUCAAGUUAUUCCUGUCACAGAUUUUGAUUUAUACUGCCAUCUUCUGGCCAUUGCACAAACUGAAAGCAAUCAAUGUCCUCUUUGUUUCACUCUGCAGUAAAACAAAAAAAGGGAUUUGAGAUCAAAUGUUUCAUAUAAGGCGACAUUAUACAAUGUCACCUUUCAUUUUUUUUUCAUGCAUAUCUGUUUGACCGUUUAGAUAUGAAAACAACUGAUGUAUCUAGUCUCCCAUUUGAAGACG